GUUGGUACCCUCCUUAUAAGGUGGGAUAUUCGGGGAACCGGGGUUAUACCCGGUAAUCCUCUAGACACCCAUUGUUCAAGAAUAAAAACGGUUUCGGGUUUCAAUUUCCAGAUGGCCCCGCGGGGCAUUUUACUAUUUGGUGGGGUAAAGGCUCCACCAAGGGGGCGGAUGGUUAGCCGACCUGAGAGGGGGAUCGGCCCCACUGGGGACUGAGACCCGGGCCCAGAUUCCUACGGGAGGCACCAGUAGGGAAUCUUCCGCAAUGGACGAAAGUCUGACGGAGCAACGCCGCGCGAGUGAUGAAGGUUUUCGGAUCGUAAAGCUCUGUUGUUAGGGAAGAACAAGUGCGAGAGUAACUGCUCGCACCUUGACGGUACCUAACCAGAAAGCCACGGCUAACUACGUGCCAGCAGCCGCGGUAAUACGUAGGUGGCAAGCGUUGUCCGGAAUUAUUGGGCGUAAAGGGCUCGCAGGCGGUUUCUUAAGUCUGAUGUGAAAGCCCCCGGCUCAACCGGGGAGGAUCAUUGGAAACUGGGAAACUUGAGUGCAGAAGAGGAGAGUGGAAUUCCACGUGUAGCGGUGAAAUGCGUAGAGAUGUGGAGGAACACCAGUGGCGAAGGCGACUCUCUGGUCUGUAACUGACGCUGAGGAGCGAAAGCGUGGGGAGCGAACAGGAUUAGAUACCCUGGUAGUCCACGCCGUAAACGAUGAGUGCUAAGUGUUAGGGGGUUUCCGCCCCUUAGUGCUGCAGCUAACGCAUUAAGCACUCCGCCUGGGGAGUACGGUCGCAAGACUGAAACUCAAAGGAAUUGACGGGGACCCGCACAAGCGGUGGAGCAUGUGGUUUAAUUCGAAGCAACGCGAAGAACCUUACCAGGUCUUGACAUCCUCUGACAACCCUAGAGAUAGGGCUUUCCCUUCGGGGACAGAGUGACAGGUGGUGCAUGGUUGUCGUCAGCUCGUGUCGUGGGAUGUUGGGUUAAGUCCCGCAACGAGCGCAACCCUUGAUCUUAGUUGCCAGCAUUCAGUUGGGCACUCUAAGGCGACUGCCGGUGACAAACCGGAGGAAGGUGGGGAUGACGUCAAAUCAUCAUGCCCCUUAUGACCUGGGCUACACACGUGCUACAAUGGACAGAACAAAGGGCUGCAAGACCGCAAGGUUUAGCCAAUCCCAUAAAUCUGUUCUCAGUUCGGAUCGCAGUCUGCAACUCGACUGCGUGAAGCUGGAAUCGCUAGUAAUCGCGGAUCAGCAUGCCGCGGUGAAUACGUUCCCGGGCCUUGUACACACCGCCCGUCACACCACGAAAGUUUGCAACACCCGAAGUCGGUGAGGUAACCUUUACUUAAUAGGGGCCGAAGGUGGGGCAGAUGAUUGGGGUGAAGUCGUAACAAGGUAACCGUAAU
rnacentral:rRNA from 1 species